CCAUAUUCGAUGCUGACCCAAACUAACAAAUCAUUCCACUGUCACCAAAAAAAAUCACAAGAUAAAAUUAAAAAUAAAUAAAUAAAAGAAACAAAGGGGAAACUGGUGCACGUUAUCGUAAACAGAAGCAAUGCGGCUAAAGAGCGCCUGGCGUUCGUUAGUGCAUCGAACAGGCCGGUAUCUGAACCGAAAAAUGGAAGUUCGUGGACCUGAUGAGAAGGCUUAACUGAGCUGAAGAGCAGCCAUGGCAGCUCCGUUUAUCCUGAAACUUUUGUUUACAGUUG
rnacentral:misc_RNA from 1 species